rnacentral:lncRNA from 1 species
UUUUUUACAGGGGACAAUGAUGGCACAGCCAAAACCUAAUACGCCCUUGAUUCAACCCACACUACCUUCACCAUCAAGGAAACUCCCAGAUUUCAAGAAUUCCGUGAAGCUGAAAUACGUGAAGCUGGGAUAUCAUUACCUCAUUACUCAUGGCAUGUACCUCUUCCUUUCCCCUCUUGUAGUUGUGCUUGCAGCUCAGCUUUCGACGUUCUCCAUCAACGAUCUCCGAGACUUGUGGGAACAUCUCCAAUACAAUCUUAUCUCUGUAGUCCUGUGCUCGACCUUGUUGGUUUUCCUGUCCACUCUCUACUUUGUGACUCGUCCUAGGCCUGUUUAUCUCGUCAACUUCUCAUGUUACAAGGCCGAGGAUUCGACAAAAUGCACCAAGAAGAUCUUCAUGGAUCGGUCUUGCAUGGCCGGGACGUUCACCGAGGAGAGUCUCGAAUUCCAGAGGAAGAUCCUCGAACGGUCUGGUUUAGGCGAUUCAACGUAUUUACCGGAUGCCGUGCUGGCUACCCCUCCAAACCCUUCUAUGCAAGAGGCCAGGAGAGAAGCCGAGGCUGUGAUGUUCGGAGCUAUCGAUGAGCUCAUGGCAAAGUCGUGCGUUAACCCCAAGGAUAUCGGCAUCUUGAUUGUGAAUUGCAGUUUGUUCAAUCCCACGCCGUCGUUAUCUGCAAUGGUUGUCAACCAUUACAAGCUUCGAGGCAAUAUCGUUAGCUACAAUCUCGGCGGGAUGGGAUGCAGCGCUGGGUUAAUCUCGAUAGCUCUGGCGAAAGAGCUUCUUCAGGUGCAUCCCAAUUCGUAUGCAUUGGUUAUAAGCACUGAGAACAUCACUUUGAAUUGGUAUUUCGGGAAUGACCGAUCGAAGCUCGUUUCGAACUGCCUUUUCCGAAUGGGAUGCGCUGCAAUUCUGCUCUCCAAUCGAAGAUCGGACAGGAGAAGGUCCAAGUACGAGCUGGUUCACACCGUUCGAACUCACAAAGGUGCCGACGACAAGUGCUUCUCUUGCGUCACCCAAGAAGAGGAUCGAAACGGGAAAGUCGGUGUGACUUUGUCGAAGGAUCUGAUGGCAGUUGCUGGGGAUGCUUUGAAGACUAACAUCACUACCUUGGGGCCUCUCGUCCUCCCGAUGUCGGAACAGCUUAUUUUCCUUGCAACAUUGGUCGGAAAGAAGGUUUUGAAGAUGAAGAUCAAGCCGUACAUCCCUGAUUUCAAGCUGGCCUUUGAGCACUUCUGCAUCCAUGCCGGUGGGAGAGCUGUAUUGGAUGAGUUGGAGAAGAACUUGCAGCUUUCUGACUGGCAUAUGGAGCCGUCUAGAAUGACGCUCUACCGAUAUGGGAACACUUCGAGCAGUUCUCUGUGGUAUGAACUAGCUUAUGCGGAAGCGAAAGGGAGGAUUAGGAAGGGGGAUAGAACAUGGCAAAUAGCGUUUGGUUCAGGAUUCAAGUGUAACAGUGCUGUGUGGAAGGCUUUGAAGACUAUUGAUCCUGCAAAAGAGAAUAACCCUUGGAUGGAUGAAAUUCAUGAGUUCCCUGUCGCUGUGCCGAAGGUAUCAACAAUCGCUUAGAUGGAGGCUAAGUUUGUGUGAUUUCAACAUUCUUCUGGGACAAAAGUCUUGAUCUUUUUGAGGAUCUGUAACUUCAUUUUGAGGAUCUGUAACUCGAUUCAGUGAUUAUCUCAAUUAGCUUGAAAUCAUGUCCAGCGAAUAGGAACGACAAUUUCAACGCGAUCCAUUCAUUUUAGAGGAACGUUUAAACCGUGUCACAGAAAAUGAAAUCAUGGUGAAGUCACAAUUAGCAAACGCUUAAACCGCACUAACAAAUCACAGUAUAAACUAAUUCUAGACAUCAAACUCGCACUCUAACAUUUUUAGAGGUGUAUGCUGAUUUUUGGCCACUUCUGGAAGCAAAAGUUUUAUUCUUUGGAUGACUUGUUGAUGAGGGACUUGUGGAUGUGAGGGAUAACUCCACCACCAGCAAUGGUGCCCUUGAUUAAGGUAUCGAGUUCCUCGUCACCUCGGAUUGCGAGCUGCAAGUGCCUUGGAGUAAUACGUUUCACCUUGAGAUCUUUACUUGCGUUGCCAGCCAACUCCAGUACUUCAGCAGUCAGAUACUCGAGAAUAGCUGCGGAAUAAACAGCAGCUGUAGCUCCUACCCUCCCGUGAGCUGUGGACCUCGUCUUCAAAAGGCGAUGGAUGCGACCAACUGGAAACUGCCAAACAAGGACAAAUUCAGCACAUGUAUACUCAACUAGACAGAAAACCAGUUAUUUUUAUGUUCAUAAGUUCAAAAGAACUGACUGCAAUGUCCAGAGCAGGCACGAAAAGUGUCAUGCUGUUCUAUAUACAAACCUACCAGAGAUUUGCAUACAAUCCAUUUUGUUACUACGUCUACAAAUGAAAAUGGCAGCUCACUAAGCAACAAUCAUACAAAUCAGCUAGGUGAUAAUACCAUUAUUAAUGCUAUCAGUUCUUUUGUUUACCCUGAGUCGUCGAACCAGAGCGAUACUGCUAGUUCUGGGCAUUGUGGCAUUCUCAAGACAUUCAAAAGGAAAAUUUAUCAAGUAAAACGGUCACCUGAAGGCAUCAAGCAUAUGACAAUAAUGGUACAAAAGACGUGUACCAAAGACCAAUAUGAAAAUUGGAUGGACAGAAACAGAAAACAAUUUCCUAGCCCCUACCUAAACAAACAAAUAUCAAGUAGCACGUAACUCAAGUACAUGCUUCUUUACGCAUUAGGAUCAUCAUCUCCAUCUCUAUAGUAUACCUCUUGUCUUUGUUCAGUAAAUAGGAAAAGCAAUGUCUAGUUGCUAUUGUUGUCCCAUCAACGCGACGCGACUAUGGUGAGCAAAAGGUCAAUCGGGAAAAGAAGCAUCGAAUUCUCCACACAAAUCCAACCAGAGCAGCUCAGGAUCGUAAGAGGUAUCUUACAUCCCUUAAUUAGCAUGGGAUCAUACCAUCAUUUACGUAUAAUAGCAUCCCGAUUUGAAUGAACAACAAUAGUUCAAAUCACAAUCAUGUUCUUUGUACACGGAAGAGCCUAAUCGCAGCUAAUAGCAAACUUCCAAUUGAAGCAAAGAUUCAACGAAAGGAAAGAAGCAAUUAGGGGAGAAGAGAUCUGAGGGAGAGAACCAGACCUGGAGGCCAGCACGAGAAGAACGGGAGGUAGGUUUCUUCUUGUCCUUAUCCUUGUCCUUGUUAGCUGCAGCGCCUUUCCCCAUGAUCAGACCCUUCGCUCCUUUACCCGACAUCUUCCCUUUCCCGCCAACACUAAGUCUCUUCUUCUUCUUCUUCUUCUCUGGAUGCUAAUGCUCUGCGUCAGAUUCAGAAUGAGCUUCCGAUUCACUCUCCGUUUCUCUUCUCUUCUGUAGCUGGAGAAACGAUUUGGGUUCGCGAUGAACGGAGGAGAGUCGGGAAGUCGGAACAGAAAAUAUAUACAGAGAAGAAACUUUGAAGAAGAAGUUUCAGAAUGACGAAACUACCUCUGCUAAUUCUUCUUAUUUAUACAUGUUGCCCCUUAGCAACAUAAUCAUUUGAUCGCUAGUCAGUUAUCCGUCCGAUUGUCCCAACUUGGUUACUUUGAUUUUCGAGAGAAAAAACAAAUAGUUUUUGAAAGUGACUUAUUUGCCCUUUUCUUAUUUAGACUUUUAGUAGUAAUCCAACGGCAAGAUUCAACCUUGAUUCCAUCCAACAAAUAGUUUUGCUUUCCGCUGAUCUCAGCUCUGGGCAAUACGCUUUUGAAUUUCCGCAAGUCCUGUAAAAUACAAAUCGCGUUGUUCCAUCCAACAAACAAACCAUUGCCACCGCUGUCCGCCAGGCGCCACCGCCGCCAACCAUUUUGGCUAUAGAAAUUAACUUAUUAACAUUAGGCGUCCCAUAAUUUUUAGUUUUGUAUAAAAUCGUCCCAUUUUCUUUAAACAUAAAAUUGAUGCGUUUUAAACGUUUCAAAAUCUAACAAGUCAAUUUUAAUUUUAUCGGCCGACACACUUCUCAGGCAAAACAAGCCCCGUCAGUAUGCUUAUUAAGUCAAAUUAUGAAAAAUAGCUUCCUCAUUAUCUCACCUUAACAUGUAAUUAAUUUUUCGAUCGAAUAAUACUACCAACCUAUCCAUUUUGAUUUAAAUCGAACAACACUCAAUCUACAAUUUACCACCAAUGUUUACCAUUCUCAUUCACUCAAACUCUUCAUCUCCCUUCUUUCUCUAUUUUUUCCACUCUAAAACUCUUGUUUCUGUAUCGAUUCUUUUAUUCGAUGAUUUCAUAGCAACUUUUUUUCAUUCCUAUUGUAAAUAAGAUGACUCCUAAAUUAUAGCGGGUAAAAAUCUAAUACAAAUUGAACCUCUAUUUUCUCAAAACAUCUAUUUCAUCUAAAAUUAUUGCUUUGGAUGGUUUGAAUUGUCCAUGUAGUUAUAAUAAUCUUUAUAUGUUUUUUAUCAAUAAAGUAGCCGGUAGUAAAACGUGAGUUGGGUGUUGUCCUAGUUAAAUCAAAAUAGAUGGUUGGUAGUAUGUCUGACCCAAAAUUAAUUAUGGGUUAAGUGAGAUGAUGUGGAAGCCAUUUGUUAUAAUUUCACUUAUUAAGCAUGCUGAUGAGGUGUGUUUUGUCGUAAAAAUGAAUUGACCAACGGAGUUAGGACUGAUUUGUUAUGUUUUGAAACAUUUGGGACGGUAUUGGUUUAUUGUUUUAAAAAAGGGACGAUUUUGUACAAAACUAAACCAUAUGGGACCCCUAAUACUAAUGGACGGGCCGUCGCAUCUCUUAUAAUCAACAAGUUGAUCACUCUUGACUCUUCUUCCCAUCUGAGCUUUUUCAUUUCAAAGACCACGAAAUUUCGGAGUUGCAUCACCUCUGCUUUGUGUCUUUACAAUUGUUCCUAUAUAUAACCAACCCAUUUCCAUCCGUCUCUUGGAGACAAAGGCGAGCGAUCUGGCCUCCAAUCUACCGCUUCUCAAGGUUGGUACUCCUCCAUUCUUUGUAUUCCCCUCUUUUCGUUUGACAAUUCAUGAAUUUUUGGAUACUUCGUUGUUAGGGUCUGUCCAAUCUGGGUUCCUAGGACUGUAUCUGUUCAUCCUUAUCGCCUAAAAAUUGUGGACUUGGGUCCGUACAGGGAAUUUAAUUUGAGGGAUUUUGUGUAAAUGACAUAUAUGGAAAUUGUAGGAGGAUUGAUUAGAUUUCAAUUCCUUGAAGUUGCUGGAAUUUGCGUGUAUUUAGGAUUCAAAUACAUGAGAUUGUGGAUGGCAAACAAACAAGGGAUUUAUUAAAAAUGAUUUCUUUGCGAUAUUUUGAGAUCCCAACUCCCAAUUUGUGAAUUCUGAUUGAUUUUUGCGUCGCUUAUUUUUUACAGGGGAAAAUGAUGGCACAGCCAAAACCUAAUACGCCCUUGAUUCAACCCACACUACCUUCACCAUCAAGGAAACUCCCAGAUUUCAAGAAUUCCGUGAAGCUGAAAUACGUGAAGCUGGGAUAUCAUUACCUCAUUACUCAUGGCAUGUACCUCUUCCUUUCCCCGGUUGUAGUUGUGCUUGCAGCUCAGCUUUCGACGUUCUCCAUCAACGAUCUCCGAGACUUGUGGGAACAUCUCCAAUACAAUCUUAUCUCUGUAGUCCUGUGCUCGAC